rnacentral:rRNA from 1 species
UACGUAGGGCGCAAGCGUUAUCCGGAAUUAUUGGGCGUAAAGAGCUCGUAGGCGGCUUUUUAAGUCCGCCGUCAAAUCCCAGGGCUCAACCCUGGACAGGCGGUGGAAACUACCAAGCUGGAGUACGGUAGGGGCAGAGGGAAUUUCCGGUGGAGCGGUGAAAUGCGUAGAGAUCGGAAGGAACACCUGUGGCGAAAGCGGCUCACUGGACCAUUACUGACGCUGAGACACGAAAGCUAGGGGAGCAAACAGG